AGCUCAUAUGGUAUGGAAGUCUGAGACCCCAGCAACAGUUAGGCAUAACAGGAUGAACUGUCUCAGUAAUGCUGCUGAUUCAAUACUGCUGAUUUCCUCUCUCUUGGUUUAAAUCAAAUCCUUACCAAAAUGUAUUUUCUUCAAAAUUGCAAACAUCCUAGAAUACAGAGAUGACGGAUGGCUCAGGGGACGGGUGAUGGAAUACACAGUUUUUCACUUCCAGGUCACCAGUCUGAAUCCAGUCCAGUUCUCAAGUUAAUGCUACUCCUGGAGAGCAAUGCUGAUUUCAAGUCAAUGGUGGCAACCACGGAGCGGUUUAUGAGUCUGUAUAGUCUUUGAGGGAACAAGCCUUUUCAUUCAGGCAGUAGAGGCUUGCUCUUUUAGAUCCAGGGUCCAAUCUGCACUGCUGCUGAACAAUCCAGGACAUUGUGUUACAUAAGCAUGCAAGAAAUGAAAAAUAAUCAGCUGAUGUCAC